CUAGAGGGAUGGAGGCACUGGCUGGAGGGGGGCCAGCUGGAGACACCUCUUAGUCUGGACUGAUCAUAACAAUUUAGCUCACAUUCAGUUGACUACAAAGUUGAAACUGAAACAAGGCUAGGUGUGCUUUAUUUUUUUUAGGCGAUUCAACUUCACCCUGGCUUACAGACCUGGAUCCUGCAGUGCAAGCCUGACACCCUCUACGGAUGCCGACACGGAGUACGUGGCUGUCUGCAUGUGUGCCUGCAACAAGUCAACUCAUUGCCCUCCAGCUGGCCUGCUGCAGCUCCGGCUCAUCCCUUUCAGAACAUGUCCUGGAUUUUGUCACUGGCCUGCCACCAUCUACAGUUGCAUCAUUUGCAUUUACUAAUUAGUUGAUGCUGGUUGAAAAUGUCGCUUGAUACCAGCAUGUAGGCAGAGUUGGAGUUGGCAGAAGCUGGUGAACAGCCAUCCAUCAGAGGAGGGAGGAAGGUCGGAAUGGAAAAGUAGGAGGAAAAGAGAACAAAAUUUACAAAGAAAACAAAAAUAUUGGCAUAUUAUGUCAUGCCACAAUUACCAACUCAUUGGAUAGCCUUAACAGCACGAAUAUACAAUAUGAAAGCAAUUAAAAUCCAACAAGAAAGCAUAUUAAGAAAGUAAGAUGAAAUAGAAAAAUAUGAUAUAGUUCACCAAGCAAACUUUAUUGUCUCUAUUCAUAAGGUCAGUGAUGAUUUACAGGAAAGCUGUAAACAUCAAAUUAAAUAACUGUUUUUGUCACAUUGGAUUAAGCCACCUGUUUUCAUUUAACUGACUCUUUAAUGAUGCAACACGUUACCACACAGAAAAACUCUCACACUAGCGAAAAUACACAACAAUAAAAAGUUUCAUGUCAUCAGACUCAAACAGCAACCUGUAUAUUGGCUCCAUUUCAGUGGUUUUAGUAUUUAAAAUUAGACACAAAAAAGAUUCAUUCAACACAAGCUCCUUGGCAAAAGAAGUCCUGCUAUGCUGCAGUGAAACAAUUACUUCAGUUAGCGGGCACUCCUCUUUAAUAGAAAAUAAAUAUUCUGUAUAGUUUGAUUUCAGAGUGAAUGCAGAAUUGUUGAACGCUAAACUGGCUGUGGGGACCUCGCAGAGGAAAUGUUGCAGCCUCUCAUCUCAUCUGUCAUAAAGGAGUUGCACGGUUCAUCCUUUCUCAGCCUGCUUCACCCACUUAAAUGAAUGGUUUCCUACAUUUGCCAGAGAAUUAUGUUAACAUAUUCCAAUAUUUUUACACCUGAGAGAAUAUUUAGGCCAUAAGUUUAUUAUCUUAUAGUAAAUAAAUAAAAACUAAUUUGAGGGAA